UGAAAGAGUGGGAUAUGGGAGUUCAAUAUGGGAAAAAGUUUAUCUUUAUGCCGUGUCUCCAGUAUCUUCUACUUAUUGAAUUGCCCAAGUUAAAGUCCUUUCCACCGCACCUUACCCAAGCUACAUCCCUGAGGAAGUUGUUCAUAUGGGAGUGUCCGAAGUUGACUUGGAAGCCAUCUCCAUCCUCUCAUCUUGCUUCUCUGGACGUUGAAGAGUUGGUUUUAAAAGAGAAUGCAGGUUCAUUUUCAAAAACAUUUGUAUCAAACAACCACAUGUUUCUUCCAAAGCUCAAGUUACUGUGUGUGAGAAAAUCACCUUACUCAUCGUUACCUGAAGGCUUAGGGCAACUCACAUCACUUCAGAUUCUGGAUAUUCGAACCUGUUCUAAGAUCAAGUCAAUUCCUGAGAGGGAGUUGCAGCAUCUCACUGCACUCCAAGAGUUGAAGAUCAUGAGAUGUCGUAACUUGAAACUAUGCUUCCUAAAGGAGAUAUGUGAGAAUUGGAGCAAGAUAUCCCACAUCCCAAAAAUCUUUAUUGAUGGGGAGAAGAUCGAACAAGUGGUAACUUCCAGACUAACAAGAGAUGGAGGAAAAAGAAGUGGACAAGACACAAUAGAUCAUAUACUUGAUGAAAGAUAAUCGAGAGUACCCGGCCUCUUCAACUCCUCCGUUGGAAUUCUCAACAUAGAAUCCACUGUCUACCAUUUGAUGAUCAGAGGGAGAGAGAAAUAGUACAAUUCUGUCAUCUCUUCUCAGAUCAGAGCUUACUCUGCUUGUCAAGGUUUUGAUUCUAAGGAUCUAUAUGAUCGAUGCUUUUACUCUUCUGCACAUCAAAUCUCAAAUGCCUAAGAAUUUCGAAAUUCAAUUGUGAACAAUCCCUUUUGCCCACUACCAAAAUCUCAUGUGCCAUCAUGGUGAAUGCCACAGGCAUGGAAGUAAGCAUGCAAUCCAAUGAUCUGUGUUCAUGGCUGGCUCUGUGUUAUUGAGAAGCUAGAAGUUAGAGUUUUGGCAACCAGCCAGCUGCCAGCGAGACUUCUUACUA